CCUCCUAUAGGGUUGCAGCUAGAGAGCUGUGUCUCUAGUUGCAUGUGUAGCAGAGGAUGGCCUAGUCGGACAUCAAUGGGAGGAGAGGCCCUUGGUCUUGCGAAGAUUAUGUGCCCCAGUACAGGGGAAUGCCAGGGCCAGGAAGCAGGAGUGGGUGGGUUGGGGAGCAGGGUAGGGUAUAGGGGAGGGAUAGCAUUUGAAAUGUAAAUGAAGAAAAUAUCUAAUAAAAAUGUGUGUGUGUGUGUGUGUGUGUGUGUGUUUGUGUUUUCCUUACUAUGUUUUUUCUCAGUUUAUUUAAUUUAUCUUUAUUGUUAUAUUUGAUUUUUAAUCAGCCUACAAACACAUCAAGCUUCUGUAUUGUGUUUUCAUACAUAUUCUCUUUGGUUGCUCUUUUUCCCCUGCUCCACACCCUCAUUCCACCACACACACACCCCACCCUGUUUUACUCUUCUACCCCCUGUAUUACUCUUUCUACUUUCCUUCUUCAAGACUUAAUUCCCUCCUCUUUUUCCUCUUUCAUGAGCUCCCAUUUAAUUUCUCAUUUCUGCCCACACUCACCCCCACAUACAUGCACAUAUAUUAAAAUCUUGAAUCUGCAUAUGAGAAAAGAAUGUGCAAUGCUUGUCUUUCUGAGUCCGGGUUAUCAAUAUUCUUGCAACUUUCAUAACUUAAUUUUGUUUAUGGCUGGAUAAAAUUCCUUUGUGUACAUGUGCCACAUUUUAAUUAUCUUUUCAUCACUUGAUGGGCAACUAGGCUGAUUCUAUUUCCUUGAUGUUGUGAAAAUAGCAGCAAUAAACAUGACUGUGCUACUAUCUAAGGUUCAUAACAAAACCAAGAAAAUUUUUCCAUAAAUUUUUAUACUUACCUCUCACACAGCAACUCCUCAAACCAACAUCUCUUAUUAUAGUGGUUCAUUUGCAACUGUUGAUGGACCUCUUCUAACAGGGUGUAAUCUCUCAUAUGCUACAAUGAUUUCAAAAGAGAUUAUAUUUUAUGUGGGUGUGUUUGUAUAUGUCCUUGUCCGUAUGAAUGUAUGCCAGGUCUGUAUGGGUGGCCACAGAGGCAAGAAGAGUAUGUGGAUCUGGAGUUACUGGUGGUUCUGAGUUACCUGAUGUAGGAGCUAGGAACCGAAACACUGAAACCCUCUCCAACCCAAGACUACAAGUCAGUUAUUUCCAUUUAUAUAAUGUACAGUGAUAGAGAUUCAGCCACCUCUCCAGCCCUACACUACAAAUCUCCACCCCCCCCUUUUCAAUUGGAGAUAUACUUUUUUUCUCAUAUAUUUCAUCCUGCGUGCAGUUUCUCUUUCCUCCAUUUUCCAAGUCUUCCCACCUCCCAUCUCACUUGGAUCCACUUUCUUUUUGUCUCUCAUUAGAAAACAAACAGGCUUCUAAGGUAGUGGUUGUCAAUCUAUACUAUAGGUUGUGACUCCUUUUGGAGUUGAAUGACCCUUGUACAGGGGUUACAUAGCAGAUAUUUAUAUUUCAAUUAAUGACAGUAAUAAAAUUAUGGUUAUGAUGUAGUGAAAAUAAAUUUAUGUUUGAGGGUCACUACAACAUGACAAAUUGUACUAAAGUGUCACAGUAUAAUGAAGCUUGAGAACCAAUGAUCUAACAGAUAAAAUAAAACAU
rnacentral:lncRNA from 1 species